rnacentral:rRNA from 1 species
GACGAACGCUGGCGGCGUGCUUAACACAUGCAAGUCGAACGAAGAGCGAUGGAAGCUUGCUUCUAUCAAUCUUAGUGGCGAACGGGUGAGUAACGCGUAAUCAACCUGCCCUUCAGAGGGGGACAACAGUUGGAAACGACUGCUAAUACCGCAUACGAUCUAACCUCGGCAUCGAGGAUGGAUGAAAGGUGGCCUCUAUUUAUAAGCUAUCACUGAAGGAGGGGAUUGCGUCUGAUUAGCUAGUUGGAGGGGUAACGGCCCACCAAGGCGAUGGUCAGUAGCCGGUCUGAGAGGAUGAACGGCCACAUUGGGACUGAGACACGGCCCAGACUCCUACGGGAGGCAGCAGUGGGGAAUCUUCCGCAAUGGACGAAAGUCUGACGGAGCAACGCCGCGUGAGUGAUGACGGCCUUCGGGUUGUAAAGCUCUGUUAAUCGGGACGAAAGGCCUUCUUGCGAAUAGUUAGAAGGAUUGACGGUACCGGAAUAGAAAGCCACGGCUAACUACGUG